rnacentral:rRNA from 1 species
UACAGAGGUGGCAAGCGUUGUUCGGAAUUACUGGGCGUAAAGCGUGCGCAGGCGGCUUCGCAAGUCAGACGUGAAAUCCCCGGGCUUAACCUGGAAAUGGCGUUUGAAACUACGGAGCUGGAGUGUGGCAGAGGGAGGUAGAAUUCCACGUGUAGCGGUGAAAUGCGUAGAUAUGUGGAGGAAUACCGAUGGCGAAGGCAGCCUCCUGGGCCAACACUGACGCUCAUGCACGAAAGCGUGGGGAGCAAACAGG